GGAUGACUUCAGAGCUAACUCUAGAUGACCAGUCCUCACCCAAGACCCCCAUAGCAUCCAGAAGCUGGAUGAAGUAAUGGAAUGGGUGAUUCUGGAGAGAGCUCAGUCCAUCCCAGUAUCUUCAGCAGAACUGUCGUCUGCUUUGUUGACUGGAUCAGCCUAGUCAAGACUGAUGCCACCAUGGAGAGUGCCAGGGCCUUCAGAGGGUGUGACUUCUCAACUGACAUCCGAGCACAAGGAGCAGCACGUGAGGAGAGAUCCUGCCCUGCCUCCAAGAUCUGCAAACACCUAGAGGCCAGAUGAGAGUUGGAGCUUGCCCUGCUUCGUGGGCUACCACCGUCUCUGCAUCUUGGUUUGGGGUGGAGUGAGCCACCAGCACAACGCUUAUAACUUGGCCAUCAGUCAACCACCAUCAUCUUUUCACCCAGUUUCUGGGCUCUGAGCAGAAACUCAGAGGUCCUAUUUCCGGGGACCUCUUUGGCAGACCCUCCCGGAGCUAAUGUUCUAAUAUAAGGUCCCCCCAAUAGCUGCAGAAAGGUCAAUGCAACUGAAGCAUGAGUCCCCACACUGCAGCCAUGCGGUUCACAGAGGGUGAGGUCUCAGUGAGCCUUGUGUCUUGUGGACUGGGAACAUGACCACUUGACCCCAGGGUGGGGGAGGGCUAUGAAGAAGCAGGAGCAAACUCCCCAGGAGAAUGGAAUUGGAGGGUAAAGGGCAAAUACAAUUGUCACAUGUUCCCAAAGGAGCUCCAGAGGCCAGACACCAGGGACAGAGGGACACAACUGGCUGGUAUGUUGCGUUCCCUUUCAUUCGGGGCUUCCUGGCACGGGUAACUACAUUUUGCUCUCAGUGAGUGAUAUGGGCACAGCUCACCAACAGUUUUUGGAUAUGAAUUCUAGAAGUAGCUGCCUGUGCUCCAACAUCUCCCUGUGAGCCUUGUGCCCCAGAGGGAGCAGCUUUCCCCUGGUGCCCGCUGUGGUAGUGACAGUCACAGAAUUCCUGUAUCACUGUACCUUCUCAGAGUCCCUCCUACUAUUUGAAGCAUCACAACUACAUGACUCAGUAUACCCACCGGUGUUUCUGUCCAUCACUUCAGUCUUUUAAACAUGUGCCCCAUAACCUUAAACUGAGAUGUUCAGCAAUGUAGUGAAUACAUCACUUAGCAUGCUCAGCAAUGAGCUCACCCAUCCAUGAAUAUUGAGGUUCUGUGAAUAAAACCCCAAAGUUUUCUGUGUUCAAAGAA